GACGAACGCUGGCGGCGUGCCUAAUACAUGCAAGUCGACCUUAGUUGCGAACGGGUGCGUAACACGUGGGUAACCUGCCCAUCAGAAGGGGAUAACACUUGGAAACAGGUGCUAAUACCGUAUACUGAUGGAUGGACACGAGGUGCAUUAGCUAGUUGGUGAGGUAACGGCUCACCAAGGCCACGAUGCAUAGCCGGUCUGUGAGGGGGUUCGGCGACAUUGGGACUGAGACACGGCCCAAACUCCUACGUGAGGCAGCAGUAGGGAAUCUUCGGCAAUGGACGAAAGUCUGACCGAGCAACGCCGCGUAAGUGAAGAAGGGUUACGGGUCGUAAAACUCUGUUGUUAGAGAAGCGUUAUCUAACCAGAAAGCAACGGCUAACUACGUGCCAACAGCCGCGGUAAUAC
rnacentral:rRNA from 1 species